rnacentral:rRNA from 2 species
CGAGAGUGACGGUACCUGCAGAAAAAGCACCGGCUAACUACGUGCCAGCAGCCGCGGUAAUACGUAGGGUGCAAGCGUUAUCCGGAAUUAUUGGGCGUAAAGAGCUCGUAGGCGGUCUGUCGCGUCUGCUGUGAAAUCCCGAGGCUCAACCUCGGGCUUGCAGUGGGUACGGGCAGACUAGAGUGCGGUAGGGGAGAUUGGAAUUCCUGGUGUAGCGGUGGAAUGCGCAGAUAUCAGGAGGAACACCGAUGGCGAAGGCAGAUCUCUGGGCCGUAACUGACGCUGAGGAGCGAAAGGGUGGGGAGCAAACAGGCUUAGAUACCCUGGUAGUCCACCCCGUAAACGUUGGGAACUAGUUGUGGGGUCCUUUCCACGGAUUCCGUGA